UCUCCUGCCUCUGGAUGUUUCCUUGGAGCCUCUGGCCUUCGGGAAGACCGGUGCCAUCCAGAUUCCAACAGUGACUUUUAGCUCUGAGAAGUCCAAUACUACAGCCCUGGCUGAGUUCGGAAAAUACAUUCAUAAAGUGCCACUGGGUUAGAGUCUCCCCGACCAAGCUGGUCUCAGCAAGUGGUCUCCAUCAUGGGGGCUCGAAUCCAGGUUGAAGGGUCACCAGAGUGAUGGUUGGAGAACAUGGAACUAGCUGGAGGACACCUGAGUACUCUUAAAGCAAACCCCGUGGCCAAAAUCAAUAACCAAUUUGGAUACCAUCAAGACACCUGAAACCUUAUCAUGAGCCAGAUGCUGAGGAAGAGAUUCCAGGAGGAUCCUGAGGACCCCCUGGUUGCAGCCACGUCGAGGCUGACACUGAGGAGGACCCCAACUGUCAUGAGCAACACCCGUCGAACACAGCCAUCCACCUGGGGACAAAUCAAGAAGCUGUCACAGAUGAUGGAAGAAAACCUGAGGAAAGCGGGACAACCAAUCACAAUGAGUAAUUUGGUGAUCUAUCACAGUGAUGAUCACCAUUGCCAUGAGUAUUCCUUCAACAAGGGCUGACACAGAGAACAAUUAUACUUAUUGGGCAUAUUUAUCAAUCUUGUCUGGCAAUAAUGCCUAGAUGAUUUCACUCUAUGGCACAGUUACACAUGCUUUCUGAUCUCAGUAUUUACCAUAAUAAAUCUGCUCCUAUAAUUGAGGCAUACCACCCUCAAAAACCUAUUUGUAAACAAAAUAGAACCUGGCCAGAAAUAAUGAACAACUUGUUUAGUAAGAUUGCAUUGCAGAACAGGCAGAGAUGCUACGCAAUGAUUCCUAUGGGAUCAUUGAUUGGUCCCCUAAGGGGAUGUUUAGCUUAAAUUGCACCUCUCAGUCUGCAUGCCAUGGCCACACUAGUUCAGAUGGUCUGAACAAAGUGGUCAGAUGGCAGAAAUGAUAAGAAGUAUGGCAAAAGUUCCUAUUGUCUGGAACCAUGGCAGUAUAGUGUCACCUCAACCUCAAAUGAUAUGGCUCAUUGUAGGAGCUAAACAUAAGGAUUUGUGGAAACUAUUAAUAGCUCUUAAUAAGAUCAAAAUUUGGGAAAGAAUAAAAAAAGCAUCUAGAAAGACACUCUACAAACUUGUCUUUGGAUAUUACAAAAUUAAAAGAACAAAUAUUUAAAGCAUCCCAGGUACACCUGACCUUAAUGACAGAAACUGGAGUGCUUGAAGGAGCUGCAGACAGAUUAGCAGCUAGUAACCCAUUAAAAUGGAUAAAAACACUUGGAAGCUCUGUGAUUUCAAUGAUGAUUGUGCUUUUAAUCGGUAUUGUUUGUCU
rnacentral:lncRNA from 1 species